ACUGAUUCGUGGAGGGAACAUAGCACUCCAACGAGGCUAGGCUGCCUUCUGCGUUGCGGCCUCCCACAGCGUAAAGGAGCCCGUUGAACACACUCAGGCUGAAGGUCUCUAUACAAAAUGUCUCUACUAAGGGACUUCUCUGUAAGACCUGGGCGUCCUCCAACCGUGGCAAGGACUCGGCAGCCCCCUCGGAUUCUUGUUCGCCUAGACUGCAAUGUGUUUUGAUGAUAUGGAAUGAUGUGCUGGGACUAUGGAGGAAAAGGAUCCAGAGACUUCCUAAUGAAGGAAUGAUUGUGGACUCUGGGAGCAACAACAUCUGAUUUCUAGUUUUAAAUCUUCCUUUUCUACCCUGUUCCUCUUUAUGUCAUCCUUAAAUGAUGUAUCUCCAAGUAUCCUUAAUAAAAUUUUAUGAAUUA